rnacentral:rRNA from 1 species
UGAACGCUGGCGGCGUGCUUAACACAUGCAAGUCGAGGGGCAGCAUUUUAGUUUGCUUGCAAACUGAAGAUGGCGACCGGCGCACGGGUGAGUAACACGUAUCCAACCUGCCGAUAACUCCGGAAUAGCCUUUCGAAAGAAAGAUUAAUACCGGAUAGUAUACGAAUAUCGCAUGGUAUUUUUAUUAAAGAAUUUCGGUUAUCGAUGGGGAUGCGUUCCAUUAGUUUGUUGGCGGGGUAACGGCCCACCAAGACUACGAUGGAUAGGGGUUCUGAGAGGAAGGUCCCCCACAUUGGAACUGAGACACGGUCCAAACUCCUACGGGAGGCAGCAGUGAGGAAUAUUGGUCAAUGGGCGAGAGCCUGAACCAGCCAAGUAGCGUGAAGGAUGAAGGCUCUAUGGGUCGUAAACUUCUUUUAUAUGGGAAUAAAGUUUUCCACGUGUGGAAUUUUGUAUGUACCAUAUGAAUAAGGAUCGGCUAACUCCGUGCCAGCAGCCGCGGUAAUACGGAGGAUCCGAGCGUUAUCCGGAUUUAUUGGGUUUAAAGGGAGCGUAGGUGGAUUGUUAAGUCAGUUGUGAAAGUUUGCGGCUCAACCGUAAAAUUGCAGUUGAAACUGGCAGUCUUGAGUACAGUAGAGGUGGGCGGAAUUCGUGGUGUAGCGGUGAAAUGCUUAGAUAUCACGAAGAACUCCGAUUGCGAAGGCAGCUCACUAGACUGUCACUGACACUGAUGCUCGAAAGUGUGGGUAUCAAACAGGAUUAGAUACCCUGGUAGUCCACACAGUAAACGAUGAAUACUCGCUGUUUGCGAUAUACAGUAAGCGGCCAAGCGAAAGCAUUAAGUAUUCCACCUGGGGAGUACGCCGGCAACGGUGAAACUCAAAGGAAUUGACGGGGGCCCGCACAAGCGGAGGAACAUGUGGUUUAAUUCGAUGAUACGCGAGGAACCUUACCCGGGCUUAAAUUGCAACAGAAUAUAUUGGAAACAGUAUAGCCGUAAGGCUGUUGUGAAGGUGCUGCAUGGUUGUCGUCAGCUCGUGCCGUGAGGUGUCGGCUUAAGUGCCAUAACGAGCGCAACCCUUAUCUUUAGUUACUAACAGGUGAUGCUGAGGACUCUAGAGAGACUGCCGUCGUAAGAUGUGAGGAAGGUGGGGAUGACGUCAAAUCAGCACGGCCCUUACGUCCGGGGCUACACACGUGUUACAAUGGGGGGUACAGAAGGCGGCUACCUGGUGACAGGAUGCUAAUCCCAAAAACCUCUCUCAGUUCGGAUCGAAGUCUGCAACCCGACUUCGUGAAGCUGGAUUCGCUAGUAAUCGCGCAUCAGCCAUGGCGCGGUGAAUACGUUCCCGGGCCUUGUACACACCGCCCGUCAAGCCAUGAAAGCCGGGGGUACCUGAAGUACGUAACCGCAAGGAGCGUCCUAGGGUAAAACUGGUAAUUGGGGC